AGAGUUUGAUCCUGGCUCAGAAUCAACGCUGGCGGCGUGCCUAACACAUGCAAGUCGCGCGCGAAAGGGGGGCAACCCCCAAGUAGAGCGGCGCACGGGUGAGUAACGCGUGGGUGAUCUGCCUCCGAGUGGGGAAUAACAGCGGGAAACUGCUGCUAAUACCGCAUGACAUCCUCGAGUCGCAUCGGGGAUCAAAGCCGGGGACCGCAAGGCCUGGCGCUUGGAGAUGAGCCCGCGUCCGAUUAGCUAGUUGGCGGGGUAAUGGCCCACCAAGGCUUCGAUCGGUAGCCGGCCUGAGAGGGCGGACGGCCACACUGGGACUGAGACACGGCCCAGACUCCUACGGGAGGCAGCAGUGGGGAAUUUUUCGCAAUGGGGGAAACCCUGACGAAGCAACGCCGCGUGGAGGAUGAAGGCCUUCGGGUCGUAAACUCCUGUCGACCGGGAAGAAUGCACCCGACCUAAUACGUCGAAGUGUUGACUGUACCGGUGGAGGAAGCCACGGCUAACUCUGUGCCAGCAGCCGCGGUAAUACAGAGGUGGCAAGCGUUGUUCGGAAUUACUGGGCGUAAAGGGCGCGUAGGCGGUUUGUCAAGUCCCGUGUGAAAGCCCCCGGCUCAACCGGGGAACGGCGCGGGAAACUAGCAGGCUUGAGUUCGGGAGAGGGAAGCGGAAUUCCGGGUGUAGCGGUGAAAUGCGCAGAUAUCCGGAGGAACACCGGUGGCGAAGGCGGCUUCCUGGACCGACACUGAGCUGAGGCGCGAAAGCUAGGGGAGCAAACGGGAUUAGAUACCCCAGUAGUCC
rnacentral:rRNA from 1 species